UAACACUGAGGGGUGUUGAAAGUGCAGGCUCUCUGGGUCCCUGGCAUCAGCCCUGGGUGGGGGGAAGGGCCCCUUGUUACUGCCUAGUGGAGGUGAAAGUCCAGACUCCCCACGUGGUUUCCACUGACAGUUAGGGGGCUCCUUACUACCCAGCAGGGACCUGAAUCCUGCCCCCGCCCCAGCCUUCUCAGAUACAUCCUGGGGAGGCAGAAGGAGUGGUCUAGGACAUCUCCUUAUAGUCUGGCAAGGGUGGAAGUCUAGGCUCUGCACUUGGCCUUUCCUGGUAAGGUGGGGCCUUUUUUUUUUUUCCCCUGUAGCAUUUGGCUGGAGUACAGCAAUUAUUGUCUGAGAGUUUUCUAUCUUGCUAGGCUAUCCUUUCCUGGUCUUCUGCUAAAAAGAUCAGAUUUUUUUUUUUUUCCCCUGUCUGUGCCUGUUGAUGUUUCCAGGUUGCUGACUUUUCCAACAUUCAGUCUGGAAUUUAGGAGAAAGAAAAGCUCUGAGAAUUCGCAGCCAUGUUGCAGCUCAGGUCCUGUGGCCCUGAAAAACGCCUGCCUUUUUCUCUCCAUCUUAUUUUACAUAUAAAAUUAAAGGUUCUAGCUUUAAUUGGGAGGAGUUGGGGAAAGUGCAUUUCCUCCAUGCACAGGCUGCCUUUUGCCAGACAAGAAAGUGUUAUUCUCUUGCUCUGUAUUUGGGUUUGCGGGGCCUUUUUCCACUGUAAGGAAUCCAUGUUUGAAUGAGGAGCAGUCUUUGCAAAUGAAUUAUUGGGUUUUUAAAAAAAUAAACUUGAAAAAAUA
rnacentral:lncRNA from 1 species